GUCUCUGGUCAUACUAUCCUGAAUGCUCCUGAUCUUGUCUGAUCUCAGAAGCUAAGCAGGGUUGGGCCUGGUUAGUACUCAGAUGGGAAACUGUACAUAAAACCUAAAAAUCUGUGUUU
rnacentral:rRNA from 1 species